UAAUGGUGGGAACUCCAGGGAGACUGCCGGUGAUAAACCGGAGGAAGGUGGGGACGACGUCAAGUCAUCAUGGCCCUUACGAGUAGGGCUACACACGUGCUACAAUGGCGUAUACAGAGGGCUGCCAACUAGCGAUAGUGAGCGAAUCCCAGAAAGUACGUCGUAGUCCGGAUUGGAGUCUGCAACUCGACUCCAUGAAGUCGGAAUCGCUAGUAAUCGUGAAUCAGAAUGUCACGGUGAAUACGUUCCCGGGCCUUGUACACACCGCCCGUCACACCAUGGGAGUGGGCUGCACCAGAAGUAGAUAGCUUAACCUUCGGGAGGGCGUUUACCACGGUGUGGUUCAUGACUGGGGUGAAGUCGUAACAAGGUAGCCCUAGGGGAACCUGGGGCUGGAUCACCUCCUUACCU
rnacentral:rRNA from 1 species